AUGUUUCCAAGACUAAGCGGUUUUCAAAUGUAUGAUGAUGAUGAUUUAGAUGCAAGACCACGAUUUAGAGUUUACAAUAUUCCUGCUAACGAGGCAAAUGAUAAUAGUACAGUAUUGGAAGAUGAGUCUGACUUGGCUAUGGAUGAGUUGGACCAUCUCAUAAUAUUCCCAUCACUUGGAGCAAAAUAUUCAUUGAUACCAGA